UAAAUAAGUGAAACAAUCUCUUUGCAAAUAUGUCAGGAUAAGACUACGUACAAGGAUUAUCUGCAUCCAUAUUCGUGCUAGUCGGAAUUUAAUGGGUAGUGGUUUAAUUUAGGGGGAUGCUAUUUUAAUUAAAAAUCAGUAGUCUCUAAUCUCUUUCACAUACUUUCUCUUCUUUUUUUGUAGAUGCAGAUAUAUUGUAUGUCGAAUUAUAUGUAAGUACAGCUGUCUUCACUCAAUGAAUAUUCCAUUUGGAGUCACCCAUUCUAAUUUGUUACAGCUGCCUUCACUCAAGAUGUUUCUUUUAUUUGAUAUCUGGUUUGAAGAAUGGAUUUUAUAAAACCCAAUAGCUAGCUUCCCUCUAUCUUAUCUCCUUCUUGAGUAGUGGAAACUGGAAAGUUCAUGUAUUUCUCUUUAGCUUAAUCAUAAACGAAAGUUAUUUUUCUUUAAAAUGGUUGGUCUAAAGAUUGCAUUAUUUGAACUCCUUUUGAUGAGACGUGUCCAUUGAUCUGGUUAAGUGUCAAGAUACUUGGCGCCUAUGCAAGUCAUAACUUGGUUCUUAUUUUAUAUAAUGACAUUGUUAUGUUGUUUGCUGUGUGAUGGGCCUAUGGGCUGAAAGGGACGAGAGGUUAGUUAGUUUGUUAGGAAAGUUUCUAGAAUAUUCUGAGAGGAGGGAAUAGAAGGAGAGUGCGUGUGUAGGAGGUAAGCAUGAAUUGAGCAUUUGGUGAGUGGGGAUUUGGGAAAGGAUUUCUUGGGAUCUCUUUGGAGCCUAGGUAUGUUGGUCUUGGAGAGUGAGUUGAGGUCUUUUGAUUUAUCUUUUUUGCAUUGUCUGUCAUUUUCUCUGUUAUUUGCUGUUCUUAUUGUUUGAUUGAGUCUGUAUUUUCCCUGUCACAGUGUGAUAGGUGGAGUCAAUUCUUAGGAAUCAGUAAUUAGGGAAAUUUCUUCCAUUUGUAGUUAAUUAACUUGAAUCAAUGAAAUGUUAUUGCUGUCAUUAUGGAAACGUUGCUGUCCUCUGUUUAUUUGUUUGUUACUGAGCUGAACAGGUGUUGUUAAAUAAUCCAUAUACGCAUAGGUUCCACCACUGUGCAGGUAAAGUUGAGGGAGAUGAAACCUGGCAUGUUAUGACAUGAAUUAAGAGAAGCUCUUGCCAUGCCUGAGGGUUCUCCUCCACCAUGGCUUAAUAAUAUGCAGGAAGAGCCAGUUGAUAAGACCAUACACUGGGGUGACUUGGAGGAGGAGGACGAGGAAGAAGAAAUGGAGGAGGAGGAAUUUGAAGCUGGUAUUCAGUCUUUUGAUAGUCUGUCAAGCACUCCCACCGGAAUGGAGAUACUUAAUGUUAUUAUUGACCUUUGUAAGCAGCCGCAGAAGGAACCUGAAAGGCAGCUUUAUCAAGUUUGUCUUUCUAUUGCUGCUCUUCCAUCAACUUUAGCUUCUCUUUGAUCAGAUUGUUGUAUGAAGAAGCAAGGGAGGAAGAGAAUUUCAGUGACAUGGUUGCAGAGAACCAGAAGAAGAGGAAGAGAAAGAUGCAAGAAAAGGAGGGCAAGUCCAAGAAGUUUUAAGGUUGGAUCCUUGUCUCUUUCUUUUUCAGGUAAAUGGGAGACCCUGCACUUAUCUAUUCAUCCAAUUGUCAUUUUCCACGAGGAGCGGAUAAUUGGUUGUUAGCUGUGUUUAUCGCAUCUUUUUCACGUUAUUGUCUGCAAGUAGCUUUCAUUUUUUUAGACAGGAAUCUACUAAUGUAA